UCUUCGUCAAUAUGUAGCAACUGCGCCGUUUGCUUGUCAGAGACCACAAAUCGCUACUUCGAUAUUCACCUUCAGCCAAACGUGUGAGGAUAAUAAAGAUACAUUAAUUCUCUUAACGAUGACUUCCCGAUGAGGACCAUUUCAACCACGGUGGUCGUCAGGUGUGCUGUGGAUACGAUAUAAGGUUGAGUUGCUAACAUGACGUGGAGAUCAUUCAUGUUGGUUAACGUUUCACUGGUCAAAGAUCGGCUAACAGCUAACUAGCUCCUCGUUAGCUGUCUCUGCUAACAAAGAGCCGUAGCCCUGUAUGCUCGCUGUUGCCGUCCCAGAGGGGCUGUGGUCCCUCUUAUAAAGGCGGUAAAGAACUAGUGAAAGUGGACUGGGGAAGAA